UACGUAGGGUGCAAGCGUUAAUCGGAAUUACUGGGCGUAAAGCGUGCGCAGGCGGUUCGCUAAGACCGAUGUGAAAUCCCCGGGCUUAACCUGGGAACUGCAUUGGUGACUGGCGGGCUAGAGUAUGGCAGAGGGGGGUAGAAUUCCACGUGUAGCAGUGAAAUGCGUAGAGAUGUGGAGGAAUACCGAUGGCGAAGGCGGCCAUCUGGACCGAUACUGACGCUGAGGCGCGAAAGCGUGGGGAGCAAACAGG
rnacentral:rRNA from 1 species